rnacentral:rRNA from 1 species
GAUGAACGCUGACGGCAUGCUUAACACAUGCAAGUCGACCUGAAAUUGGGUUUUUUACUUCGGCUUGGGUGGCGGACGGGCGAGUAACGAGUAAAGAACUUGCCUCACAGCUAGGGACAACAUUCGGAAACGAAUGCUAAUACCUAAUAUUAUGAUAAUAGGGCAUCCUAUAACUAUGAAAGCUAUAAGUGCUGUGGCAGAGCGUUGAGUCCCAGUAGCUAGUUGGAGAGGUAACGGCUCACCAAGGCGAGGAUGGGUAGCCGGCCUGAGAGGGUGAUCGGCCACAGAGUGACAGGGACACGGCCCUUAGUCAUUCGUGAGGCAGCAGUGAGAGAUAGUCGGCGAAAGGCCGAGAGUCUGAUCAAGCAAUUCGGAGUGCACAAUUAAGUUUUUCGGAAUGUAAAGUGCUUUCAGUUGGGAAGAAACUAAUGACGGUACCAACAGAGGAAGUGACGGCUAAAUACGUG